rnacentral:rRNA from 1 species
GAUGAACGCUGGCGGCGUGCUUAACACAUGCAAGUCGAACGGAAAGGCCCAAGCUUGCUUGGGUACUCGAGUGGCGAACGGGUGAGUAACACGUGGGUGAUCUGCCCUGCACUUCGGGAUAAGCCUGGGAAACUGGGUCUAAUCCCGGAUAGGACCACAUUUUGGAUGGUGUGGUGGAAAGUUUUUCGGUGUGGGAUGAGCUCGCGGCCUAUCAGCUUGUUGGUGGGGUAAUGGCCUACCAAGGCGUCGACGGGUAGCCGGCCUGAGAGGGUGUACGGCCACAUUGGGACUGAGAUACGGCCCAGACUCCUACGGGAGGCAGCAGUGGGGAAUAUUGCACAAUGGGCGCAAGCCUGAUGCAGCGACGCCGCGUGGGGGAUGACGGCCUUCGGGUUGUAAACUCCUUUCGCUAGGGACGAAGCGUUAUGUGACGGUACCUGGAGAAGAAGCACCGGCUAACUACGUG